rnacentral:tRNA from 1 species
UUAAAAGCAGUUUUCUGAAAAUUGUAACUUUGGAAGUUAUCGGAUGGCCCUAAGGUCACUUUUAAA